ACAUACACAUCCGCCUGGGUACUACGAGCACAGCUUAAAACCCAAAGGACUUGGCGGUGUCUCAGACCCACCUAGAGGAGCCUGUUCUAGAACCGAUAACCCCCGUUAAACCUCACCACUUCUUGUUUCCCCCGCCUAUAUACCGCCGUCGUCAGCUUACCCUGUGAAGGCCUAACAGUAAGCAAAAUAGGUCCACCCAAAAACGUCAGGUCGAGGUGUAGCGUACGAAGUGGAAAGAAAUGGGCUACAUUUUCUAUAUAAUAGAAUACUACGAAUGAUGUAUUGAAACAAGCAUCUGAAGGUGGAUUUAGUAGUAAAAAGAAAACAGAGCGUCCUUUUGAAUUAGGCUCUGAGACGCGCACACACCGCCCGUCACUCUCCCCACUUACAUACCAAAACAAUUAAUAAUAAACCACACAAAACUCACGGGGAGGCAAGUCGUAACAUGGUAAGUGUACCGGAAGGUGCACUUGGAAUAAU
rnacentral:rRNA from 1 species